ACAGCAGCCGCCACGGUAAUACGAAGGGUGCAAGCGUUAAUCGGAAUUACUGGGCGUAAAGCGUGCGUAGGCGGUGAGUUAAGUCUGCUGUGAAAUCCCCGGGCUCAACCUGGGAAUGGCAAUGGAUACUGGCAAGCUAGAGUGUGUCAGAGGAUGGUGGAAUUCCCGGUGUAGCGGUGAAAUGCGUAGAGAUCGGGAGGAACAUCAGUGGCGAAGGCGGCCAUCUGGGACAACACUGACGCUGAGGCACGAAAGCGUGGGGAGCAAACAGGAUUAGAUACCCGCGUAGUCCCUGUCUCUUAUAC
rnacentral:rRNA from 1 species